rnacentral:rRNA from 1 species
GACAGAGGGGGCAAGCGUUGCUCGGAAUCACUGGGCGUAAAGCGCACGCAGGCGGAUUGAUAAGUCGGGGGUGAAAUCCCGGGGCUCAACCUCGGAAUUGCCUUCGAUACUGUCUGUCUUGAGUCCGGGAGAGGCGAGUGGAAUUCCUGGUGUAGCGGUGAAAUGCGCAGAUAUCAGGAGGAACACCAAUGGCGAAGGCAGCUCGCUGGGACGGUACUGACGCUGAGGCGCGAAAGCUAGGGUAGCAAACGGG